UCCCUUGAGCCGGAUUUGAACCAGCGACCUAAGGAUCACCGUUGUAACAUCUACAGUCCUCCGCUCUACCAACUGAGCUAACGAGGG
rnacentral:tRNA from 1 species